rnacentral:rRNA from 1 species
UUCGGGGGACAAGUAGAGUGGCGCACGGGUGAGUAACACGUAGGUAAUCUACCUUCGGGUGGGGAAUAACCCAGGGAAACUUGGGCUAACACCGCAUAAUGCAGCGGCACCACAUGGUGACAGUUGUUAAAGCGGGGGAUUUUCGGACCUCGCGCCUGAAGAGGAGCCUGCGGCAGAUUAGCUAGUUGGUAGGGUAACGGCUUACCAAGGCGACGAUCUGUAGCCGGCCUGAGAGGGCGGUCGGCCACACUGACACUGACAUACGGGUCAGACUCCUACGGGAGGCAGCAGUCGGGAAUUUUGGGCAAUGGGCGAAAGCCUGACCCAGCAACGCCGCGUGAAGGAUGAAAUCCCUCGGGAUGUAAACUUCGCAAGAAUAGGAAGAAUUAGUGGGGGCUAAUACUCCCCAUGAUGACGGUACUAUUUGUAAGCUCCGGCUAACUCCGUGCCAGCAGCCGCGGUAAUACGGGGGGAGCAAGCGUUGUUCGGAUUUACUGGGCGUAAAGGGCGCGUAGGCGGCCAGCGCAAGUCAGUUGUGAAAUCUCCGGGCUUAACUCGGAAAGGUCAACUGAUACUGCGCGGCUAAAGUGCAGAAGGGGCAACUGGAAUUCUCGGUGUAGCGGUGAAAUGCGUAGAUAUCGAGAGGAACACUGCGGCGAAAGCGGGUUGCUGGGCUGACACUGACGCUGAUGCGCGAAAGCCAGGGGAGCGAACGGG